rnacentral:rRNA from 1 species
GUACCAGACUCCUACGGGAGGCAGCAGUGGGGAAUAUUGCACAAUGGGCGCAAGCCUGAUGCAGCCAUGCCGCGUGUAUGAAGAAGGCCUUCGGGUUGUAAAGUACUUUCAGCGGGGAGGAAGGCGAUAAGGUUAAUAACCUUGUCGAUUGACGUUACCCGCAGAAGAAGCACCGGCUAACUCCGUGCCAGCAGCCGCGGUAAUACGGAGGGUGCAAGCGUUAAUCGGAAUUACUGGGGGUAAAGCGCACGCAGGCGGGCUGUUAAGUCGGAUGUGAAAUCCCCGGGCUCAACCUGGGAACUGCAUUCGAAACUGGGAGGCUGGAGUCUUGUAGAGGGGGGUAGAAUUCCAGGUGUAGCGGUGAAAUGCGUAGAGAUCUGGAGGAAUACCGGUGGCGAAGGCGGCCCCCUGGACAAAGACCGACGCUCAGGGGCGAAAGCGUGGGGAGCAAACAGGGUUAGAUACCCCUGUACAA